CCAGGCUGGAUUCAGACCUGGACGUGGCUGUUUAGACCACAUCUUCACACUGCGACAGGUCCUGGAACACAGACACA
rnacentral:precursor_RNA from 1 species